AGCAGUGGGGAAUUUUGGACAUUGGGGGAAACCCUGAUCCAGCAAUGCCGCGUGUGUGAAGAAGGCGUUCGGGUUGUAAAGCACUUUUGUCCGGAAAGAAAACUUCUGCCCUAAUACGGCGGGAGGAUGACGGUACCGGAAGAAUAAGCACCGGCUAACUACGUGCCAGCAGCCGCGG
rnacentral:rRNA from 1 species